rnacentral:lncRNA from 1 species
AGUUGUUUCUUUUCCUUUCGUAGUAGUUUUUCCUGCAAUAAUUAAGGGGUCAACAUGAUACUAAUUCAUCCUAAAACUAGUUUACAGGAUGCGCGGAUGGAAAUGAAAACGCGUACCUUGUCAUGAAGAUCCUUAACAUAUUCAAGCAUCAACUGUGUCUGCACAAAACAAAACUAUUUAGAGUUGCUUCAUUCUCAGGUACUAACUCAAAAGGAAUCAGAUUAUAAUACUGAAGUCGCAACAUUAUUUAAAAAAACAAAGAAAUCGUAUAGAGUUGCGAAUGAAAACAACAUUGAUGAGUAAAGCUAGAGGCAUUAAGAAGGAAAGCUGGUACUUUUAGGGCAAGGUACAUAGGAGUAUAGAAAGACCUUUCUAAAUCUGAUUUGCAUUAGAGCAGUUUGAAGUUCGUUUUCCAAAUGGACAAGGUCAGUUACAGCGGGACCAUCAGCAUUAGUUUCCUCGAGUUGCCUGUCAAAUUGCGACGGAGCAUCAGUGGUAUAAGCUUUAUGAAAUGUAAGUGAAGUAUCAGAUCAGUACCUUUCUGUUUCUUGUAGCAGUUCUCCCGUUGUCAUGCUUGAGUAUGUAGUGUGCUGUGUUCACCUCAGAAUGAUUAGAAAACUCUCCGCACCAAAAAUGUUUAAGUAUGUUUAUUCAAGACAACAUUGAAUAGUUGGAGCAUUGCAAAAUACGCAAUGCAUCGAUGAUAAGCUACUAAUCAACCAUAUUAGCUAUAUGAAUGAACAACUAUUCAGAGCAUACUUCCAGGAUUUGCUAAUAUACUAUACAUUUAUUUAAUGACCCGUGGUGUUCGGGCUAACUUUCGCACACCUGGACUAAUUCCAUGGGAUACCUGCCACCUCCCAUCAGCAACAUGUACCAAGUAACUCAGUCCAUCAAGGCUAGGACACAUGGGAAGAAUCACCUUAUAAUGUAGGAACUUACAUGGAUUUCACAGAAAUAGUUCCAGCUAUAUAUUGAUCUCUGACCAGUUCAGGGGUGCUUCAUUUUUU